UAGACCGCCUGGGGAGUACGGCCGCAAGGUUAAAACUCAAAUGAAUUGACGGGGGCCCGCACAAGCGGUGGAGCAUGUGGUUUAAUUCGAUGCAACGCGAAGAACCUUACCUGGUCUUGACAUCCACAGAACUUUCCAGAGAUGAGAUUGUGCCUUCGGGAACUGUGAGACAGGUGCUGCAUGGCUGUCGUCAGCUCGUGUUGUGAAAUGUUGGGUUAAGUCCCGCAACGAGCGCAACCCUUAUCCUUUGUUGCCAGCGAUUAGGUCGGGAACUCAAAGGAGACUGCCAGUGAUAAACUGGAGGAAGGUGGGGAUGACGUCAAGUCAUCAUGGCCCUUACGACCAGGGCUACACACGUGCUACAAUGGCGCAUACAAAGAGAAGCGACCUCGCGAGAGCAAGCGGACCUCAUAAAGUGCGUCGUAGUCCGGAUUGGAGUCUGCAACUCGACUCCAUGAAGUCGGAAUCGCUAGUAAUCGUGGAUCAGAAUGCCACGGUGAAUACGUUCCCGGGCCUUGUACACACCGCCCGUCACACCAUGGGAGUGGGUUGCAAAAGAAGUAGGUAGCUUAACCUUCGGGAGGGCGCUUACCACUUUGUGAUUCAUGACUGGGGUGAAGUCGUAACAAGGUAACCGUAGGGGAACCUGCGGUUGGAUCACCUCCUUACCUUAAAGAAGC
rnacentral:rRNA from 1 species